rnacentral:misc_RNA from 1 species
CGCACAUUGCGCCCAUUAGUAUUCUAGUGGGCAUGCCUGUUCGAGCGUCAUUAAACCCAUUAAGCCCUGUUGCUUAGCGUUGGGAGCCCGCUGGCCUUGCCUGCAGCUCCUCAAAGUCAGUGGCGGAGUUAGCGUAUACUCUAGGCGUAGUAAUUUUCACUCGCCUCUGUGGUUGCGCUGGCGCCUGCCGUAAAACACCCAACUUUUAGUGAUUUGACCUCGGAUCAGGUAGGAAUACCCGCUGAACUUAA